rnacentral:rRNA from 1 species
AGCAGCCGCGGUAAUUCCAGCUCCAAUAGCGUAUAUUAAAGUUGUUGCAGUUAAAAGCUCGUAGUUGAAUUUUGGAUUCUUCCAAUUGGUCCAUCUUUUAGAUGAGUACUGGUUGUGUGGGGUCUAUCCGCCUGGUGAUACGUAAUGUCCUUUAUUGGAUGUUGCGGGUAGUCAGGACCUUUACCUUGAAAAAUUAGAGUGUUUAAAGCAGGCUUAUGCCGGAAUACAUUAGCAUGGAAUAAUAGAAUAGGACGAAGUUGUUUUAUUUUGUUGGUUUCUAGGACAACCGUAAUGAUUAAUAGGGAUAGUUGGGGGCAUUAGUAUUCAAUUGUCAGAGGUGAAAUUCUUGGAUUUAUUGAAGACUAACUACUGCGAAAGCAUUCGCCAAGGAUGUUUUCAUUAAUCAAGAACGAAAGUUAGGGGAUCGAAGACGAUCAGAUACCGUCGUAGUCUUAACCAUAAACUAUGCCGACUACGGGAUCGGGCGAUGUUGUUUCCAUGACUCGCUCGGCACCUUAUG